UGACAAAGAGCUUGAUAGUUAAGCUAUUCAUUUACAUUGAAUUUAUACUCGUGCAAGUCGAGUUUUGUUAA
rnacentral:tRNA from 1 species